GGUCUGAUUCUGGCCUCAGAUUGAACGCUGGCGGGAUGCUUUACACACGCAAGUCGAACGGCAGUACGGACUUCGGUCUGGUGGCGAGUGGCGAACGGUGAGUAAUGUAUCGGAACGUGCCUAUAGGGGGAUAACUACGCAAAGCGUAGCUAAUACCGCCACACUUUCGGGGGAAAGUGGGACCUUCGGGCCUCGCACUAUUACGCGGCCGAUAUCGGAUUAGCGCGAAGGUGGGCAAUUGCUCACAAGGCGAUGAUCCGUGUAGCCGGUUUGAGAGGACGACCAGCCACACUGGGACUGAGACACGGCCUGACUCUACGCUGGAGCAGUGGGAAUUUUGGAGCCAUUGGGAACUCGAUUCAGCCAUCCCGCGUGUGCGAUGAAGCGGCUCUCGGGUUGUAAAGCACUUUUGGCAGGAAAGAAACGGCACGGGAUAAUACCCUUGGCAACUGAUUGUACCUGCAGAAUACACUUUGGUUAACCGUGCCGUAGCAGCCGCGGUAAUACGCAGGGUGCAAGCGUUAACGGGAAUUACUGGGCGUAAAGCGUGCGCAGUGGUUCGGAAAGAAAGAUGUGAAAUCCCAGAGCUUAACUUUGGAACUGCAUUUUUAACUACCGAGCUAGAGUGUGUCAGAGGGAGGGAAUUCCGCGUAGCAGUGAAAUGCGCAGAUAUGCGGAGGAACACCGAUGGCGAAGGCAGCCUCCUGGGAUAACACUGACGUCAUACCGGAAAGCGUGGGGAGCAAACAGGAUUAGAUACCCCGGUAGUCCACGCCCUAAACGAUGCCUUUCUCAAUUGAAGCCGUUGGGGCCUUUCUUGGCCUGGUAGCGCAGCUAACGCGUGAAGUUGACCGCCUGGGGAGUACGGUCGCAAGAUUAAAACUCAAAGGAAUUGACGGGGACCCGUACAAGCGGUGGAUGAUGUGGAUUAAUUCUGAGUGCAACGCGAAAAACCUACCUGCCCUUGACAUGUCUGGAAUCCCGAAGAGAUUUGGGAGUGCUCGCAAGAGAACCGGAACACAGGUGCUGCAUGGCUGUCGUCAGCUCGCCAGGUCGUGGAGAUGCUGGGUUAAGUCCCGCAACGAGCGCAACCCUUGUCAUUAGUUGCUGCGAAAGGGCACUGAAUGAGACUGCCGGUGACAAACCGCAAAGGUGAUGACGUCAAGUCCUCAUGGCCCUUAUGGGUAGGCUUCACACAUAAAUGGUCGGGACAGUGGUCGCCAACCCGCGAGGGGAGCCAAUCCCAGAAACCCGAUCGUAGUCCGGAUCGCAGUCUGCAACUCGACUGCGUGAAGUCGGAACCGCUAGUAAUCGCGGAUUCAGCAUGUCGCGGUGAAUACGUUCCCGGUCUUGUACACACCGCCCGUCACACCAUGGGAGUGGGUUUUACCAGAAGUAGCGCUUCCAAUCCGUAAGGAGUGGCGAUUACCACGGUAGGAUUCAUGACUGGGUGAAGUCGUAACAAGGUAA
rnacentral:rRNA from 1 species